UACAUAUCUUAUAAAGAUAUUUUUGUUUGAUGAGACUUAUGAAACAUUCAUUUUUUUGGGUUGCAAAUAGGCUGUGUGGCAAUUUCAGACCAGUGUUAUUGUGUUAUGUUGAAAAUUAUAGACAUAAUGGUGUUUAGAGAUUAUUCAUUUAAUGUUUAUUAACUAUCUCAGUAAUUAUGUACAGAUUUGAAAUUCAUUUGAAGGUCCAUCGUCACAUUUGACACUCACAGACUCCCACUUUUAUUGAUAGCUAUAUAUUCAGUUAAAGGCUAAAGAUAAUAAUGGAGGUGGGGAAACAAGUGAAAGGAUAAUAAGUGAGUUGUGAAAAAAUACAUUGUAAUCUUACAUACAUAUGUAUAAACCAAUAUAUAAUUUUUUUAAAUACUUUUGUAAGAAGUUUCCUAAUUUUAGAUUCAUGAUUAUUAUUUAAAAUAAAUUACUCAAUAGAGCUUGGUGAUGUUUCAGAAGACUGGAGUAUUACAUUUUUUUUGUGUGUGACUGCAAUUAAUUUACUACUUGUUCGUCCAUGUUAAACUAACAUAACAAGAGCUAUGACUUGAUAUAUUAUUUAAAUAAAUCAAAAUUAAUAAUAAUAACAAAAU